CUUCGGCCUUAGUGGCGCACGGGUGCGUAACGCGUGGCAAUCUGCCCUUGGGUUCGGAAUAACAGUUGGAAACGACUGCUAAUACCGGAUAAUGUCUCAAGACCAAAGAUUUAUCGCCCAAGGAUGAGCCCGCGUCGGAUUAGCUAGUUGGUGGGGUAAAGGCUCACCAAGGCGACGAUCCUUAGCUGGUCUGAGAGGAUGAUCGGCCACACUGGGACUGAGACACGGCCCAGACUCCUACGGGAGGCAGCAGUGGGGAAUAUUGGGCAAUGGGCGAAAGCCUGAUCCAGCAAUGCCGCGUGAGUGAUGAAGGCCUUAGGGUUGUAAAGCUCUUUUACCCGGGAAGAUAAUGACUGUACCGGAGGAAUAAGCUCCGGCUAACUCCGUGCCAGCAGCCGCGGUAAU
rnacentral:rRNA from 1 species